ACCAGUUACAACACUCUGACCAAAGAGAGAGACCAGCUCCAGAAAGAGACAGAACUUCUGAAACAAUCUUUAGUUGAGAAAGGAUGGAAGAAGCUUGGUAGCAGUUGUUACUACGUCUCUACUGAGAAAAAAUCCUGGGAGGAGAGCAGACAGGACUGCAGAAAUGGAGGAGCAGACCUGGUCGUCAUCAACAGCCAAGAGAAACAGACAUUAGUCAAUUGGUUAUGUGGAGUAAAGAACUAUGUCUGGAUUGGUCUGACUGACUCUGUUACUGAGGGGACCUGGAAAUGGGUGGACGACACACCACUGACCACAAAGUAUUGGAACAGUAAAGAGCCUAAUGGUGGUCGAGCAGAGAACUGUGUGUAUUUCUACUCCAGGUCAUCAGACACAGGAGCUUGGUGGGACUAUUACUGUUACUAUCAAUACAGAUGGAUCUGUGAGAAAUAGGAUUCAUCCUCAGUACUCUCUGAACUGCCAAAUAACAUUAUGCUAAGUACUAUCAAUCGUAAACUAUUUUCUGCUCAUUCAACUUACCUUGUAAAGUACAUACAAUAUAUAACAAGACAAAUGUAUAACACAUUAUAAUAAAAACAUAUGCAAUAACAAUACAAUGAAUUGAUAACAGAAAGACUGUUCUGUCUGUUGUUGAUGAAAUUCACCACUAAGGACAAAAAAUCCAAGGAAAUGAAUCAAUCUUUAUUAUCACAGUCAUGGAAUUUAUUGAUGUUAAUUUUUAUUUUAAUUACUUUUUAUUUUUGUCUACUUGGUAAAUAUUAUAUUAUUAUAUUAUAUAAUAUAUUCUUAACUCUUCUUGCACUGCACUUUUAGUCCUGUUGCGUCGAGCCAUCCCGGAUCCGGGAUCGUGAAUACAGCCUCAAGCUCAUUACC